rnacentral:rRNA from 1 species
GUAGGGAAUAUUGGGCAAUGGUCGGAAGACUGACCCAGCCAUGCCGCGUGCAGGAAGACGGCCCUCUGGGUUGUAAACUGCUUUUAUCUGGGAAGAAAAAGGCCAUGCGUGGCAAAUUGCCGGUACCAGAUGAAUAAGCACCGGCUAACUCCGUGCCAGCAGCCGCGGUAAUACGGAGGGUGCGAGCGUUGUCCGGAUUUAUUGGGUUUAAAGGGUGCGAAGGCGGCUGAUUAAGUCAGCGGUGAAAGACUUCGGCUUAACCGGAGCAGUGCCGUUGAUACUGGUUGGCUUGAGUGUCGGAGGGGUACAUGGAAUUGAUGGUGUAGCGGUGAAAUGCAUAGAUACCAUCAGGAACACCGAUAGCGAAGGCAUUGUACUGGCCGACAACUGACGCUGAUGCACGAAAGUGUGGGGAUCGAACAGGAUUAGAUACCCUGGUAGUCC